rnacentral:tRNA from 1 species
GCCAGAGUGGUGGAAUUGGCAGACACGACGGUCUCAAAAACCGUUGAUGGAAACAUCAUGGGGGUUCGACUCCCCCCUCUGGCACCA